rnacentral:misc_RNA from 1 species
UUGUUUUUGAAUUUUGUUUUCUGUUUGUGUCAUCUGUGGGUCUGAUUAAUCAACAAACAAGCAUCUGCCUAUGAUUCUCUGUGUUUUUACGAUUUUAUAGCUCAGAGAAUACGAAGCGAUGCGAAAUCAAAGGUGCUUAUGGACAAGCAGAUUUCUAUUUUCAAUGGAUUUUGCUUUUUCUCGUAGGUUCCACAAAUUUUCUCCU